rnacentral:lncRNA from 1 species
ACGAAUAGGACCUCCAGGGCAGCUACGGCAGCUGACCCCAUCCAGCCUCGACCCCCACUCGGUCCUCGUCCCGCUCGGUCCUACCGCCGCCGCCUCCGCUCCCUCUGCCACCCCGCCCGUCCGCCGGCGACCAGUCUCCCUCCGCCUGUCGCCGCGGCCAGUAGCUCUCUACCCGUGUCGCCCGUCGUUUCACAUCGCUCGCUGCUCCAGCGGCCGGGUCAGUUCGUAAAGCUUCCCCCGCGAGCGCAGUGGGUCACAACCCCUGCCGCCAUGUCUCGACUAGCAGCUGUGCUGGUGUCGUGCUGUCUGUUGACCUCCUGUCUACCAUCCGCCGAAGCGUUUUCCAAGUCACAUUGCCGCGGAUCGUGUAUGAACACUCUACUCUUCUCGUUCAAGUGCUGCUUCUUCAUGAACGAGUGCUGCUUCUCGCUGGCGCCUGUCGGUAGAAGGAAGAGAUCGCUGACCAAUUUACUGCUACCGCCGUCACCCAGCCGACUCGGACUCGCCGUGUGAUGUCACCAGGUGACGUAAUAGUGACGUCACACGCACAGACGGUGACAGAGAAACGAGUGCCACGGACCGUAAUCAAAAGGUGUCGCGAGCGGCGGGAGGUGCAGGAAGAUGAGCGGAAGGACAGAGCGAGACGAAGAGAGGGAAAGUGAGAGAGAGAGAGAGAUAGAGAGAGAGAGAGAGAGAGAGAGAGAGAGAGGGAGAGAGGGAGAGAGAGAGAGAGAGGGCAGAUGAGGGUGCAUCUGCUGUGUGAUUUCCUCACGAGUGAAAUGUGAGGCGUACAGAAGAUGGCGCCAUCAGAGCGCACACAGAGGCAUAUGGCAGAUGAUCCGUGUUUGUUUCGGUAAUCGAGAAGUUGUUGGUAGGCUGUCGCCUAAUGGCGCCGAUUAUACCGUGCAGAUUGCACGAUAAUUAGUUAGGUGUCUAGUUUCAGUUUUAUUGUGAGCGAUGUCGAUAUGUAUUAAGUGCCGCCAAUCGACCAACAAAUGAGCGUGGGCAAAAUGAAGUCUCCCAUUAGCCUUGUUUUCACUGAAAUGCCAGGCCGGGGCUAGGUGCACUGUGCAGGAUGACCGAUGCAUGGGGCCUCCCGCCUCGGUUCUAAUGUAGCAACUAGCGAGCGACACAAGCUUCAGCCUACGCCUACCUACCAACGUUCGACAUAUUUUAUGUUUAUGCAUUCGACGAUUGAGAUGUAUUUAAACCAAAUUCCUACUUUAUAAGUGUCGUUGUUCGUUUAGGGCCUGCCAUCGCUUGAAACUAUACGUACCGUCUCAUCGCUGCCUUCUCCAUUGCUCGGCACCUUUGUCAUAAUAGCUUUCUAAACAGUCGGUCUCCCUAGUGUUGAGAGAUAAAGCGAGACGCUUUCUAGGCAUAGGCAAUGGCAGGCUUUAUGCGUUGAACGUUUUGUGUUGGUGCUAAUGCAACUGCCGUCAUCAACGGGCUUUGGCGGAAUUCGUACAAUUGUGCAAGCUUUCUUUAUUUUAAACUACGUUUACCUAAGCUGAGUUUAAGCCUGUACAGUGUACAUUGCCCUAUUGUUCUCGCAUUUGUUGCAGCAUUUUGCUGUUCAAUACAUAAACUUCGACGUAA